AUCUUUUUUCCAGUUAAUAAGUGUGAUGAAUGGGUUGUCACGCACAUGUAUGAGUUGUGCCUUCCUCAAACCUUGUUACGACAUCGGCACAUUACCUAUCUGACA
ensembl:snoRNA